UUUAGCGCGGCAACGCAAACGAACUGGGAGAUGUUGAGCAAAGCCCGGGCCGGAGCUUUAUUUUCUGGUUAAGGAACAGACUCCCUGGAAUCGAUUCAGCCGGAGAUAGGGGCGUUGGUUCCGAAUAACGCUACGGUUUCUGUGGUGUUUUGUACGCUUUGUUUGACCUAUGAAAAUCCGAGGGGAGGAUGACAA
rfam:Gongylonema pulchrum genome assembly, scaffold: GPTH_contig0023457